rnacentral:rRNA from 1 species
AAAAUCCGCUGAUGAACUGAAACAUGAUAGUACUCAGAUUCUUUCGGGGUGAAGAGAUAGUGGCUCCAAGCAUACUUCCAAGAAAAACCUCUAAGCUUCAGGUAAUAACAGCCCGUACCGUAAACCGACACAGGUAGUCGAGGAGAAUAUCCUAAGGCGCUCGAGUGAGUCAUGGCUAAGGAACUAGGCAAAUUAGUCUCGUAACUUCGGGAAAAGAGACCCCCACUUCGGUGGGGCGCAGAGAAAUGGCCCAGGCGACUGUUUAGCAAAAACACAGGACUCUGCAAAAUCGAAAGAUGACGUAUAGGGUCUGACACCUGCCCGGUGCCGGAAGGUUAAGGAAGGGGGUUAGCGCAAGCGAAGCUCUUGACUGAAGCCCCGGUAAACGGCGGCCGUAACUAUAACGGUCCUAAGGUAGCGAAAUUCCUUGUCGGGUAAGCUCCGACCUGCACGAAUGGUGUAACGAUCUGGGCACUGUCUCAGCCAUGAGCUCGGUGAAGUUGAAGUGUCGGUGAAGAUACCGGUUACCCGCCACGGGACGAAAAGACCCCGUGCACCUUUACUAUAGCUUCACAUUGUGCUUGAAUAUAAGAUGUGUAGGAUAGGUGGGAGACUUUGAAGCGGCCACGCUAGUGGUUGUGGAGUCAACGUUGAAAUACCACCCUUCUUCUAUUUAGGUUCUAACCCCGUACCCACGGGGGACAGUGUGUGGUGGGUAGUUUGACUGGGGUGGUCGCCUCCUAAAGAGUAACGGAGGCUUGCAAAGGUGCCCUCAGCAUGGACGGUAAUCAUGCGAAGAGCGUAUUAGUAUAAGGGCGCUUGACUGAGAGAGCGACGGCUCGACCAGGUACGGAAGUAGGCUAAAGUGAUCCGGUGGUUCCGCAUGGAAGGGCCAUCGCUCAAAGGAUAAAAGGUACGCCGGGGAUAACAGGCUGAUCUCCCCCAAGAGCUCAUAUCGACGGGGAGGUUUGGCACCUCGAUGUCGGUUCGUCACAUCCUGGGGCUGAAGAAGGUCCCAAGGGUUCGGCUGUUCGCCGAUUAAAGUGGCACGUGAACUGGGUUCAGAACGUCGCAAGACAGUUCGGUCUCUAUCUGUGGUGGGCGUUGUAAUAUUGAAGGGAACUGACUCUAGUACGAGAGGACCGAGUUGGACGUACCUCUAGUGUAUCUGUUGUGCCGCCAGGUGCAGCGCAGAGUAGCUAUGUACGGACUAGAUAAGCGCUGAAAGCAUCUAAGCGCGAAGCUAUCCUUAAGAUGAGUAUUACUGGGGUCGUAGAAGACGACUACGUUGAUAGGCUAUAGGUGUAAGCGUAGUAAUACGUUCAGCUGAGUAGUACUAAUUACCCCUUAGCUUCCUUUU